AAUGCACUUUAUAUAGGGAUCAGUGCUUCAUACGUUACUCGUUUACAGUGGCGUGUCCAGCGGAGUGGCCUUGGGGGGCAGAGGCCACCCCCCCAACCAGACUGGCCACCCCAGGUGCCACCCCGAAGCUAAAACAAUAAAAUUUAAUGAAAUAUCAAAUGUACGAUUAUGGCUUCACAGUGAAGCUCAGAUGUCUGAGGGUAAGUGAAUGCAGCACCGGCUUCUGCACUAUGAGCAUCAUGUUAGCAAAGGUAGGAGAGCCAAGUACGAAAGACGGCACCACAGAAAACGUUUUUUCAGCGAAAGAUUAACAAGUUAACAUAGCUGGACUAGCCAUCGGACAUUUGCACAGUGGGCUGAUGACUUAUUUAUUUUUUUUGUAACGGCAUGAACAAUGAGAGGUGGUGGAUUGGCCAGAUGCUGGCCGAUGUGUAAAAAUAACUCAGUUGUUUGGUGGUGGCUAUGGCGGGGCUUCCACAGAGGCAACAGGUGGAUGAGGGAAGGGGAGGCAGGAGGAGCAGAGACCCGAGGCGGCCGCCGGUUCGAGUAUCAGGUGAACUGAACUUGAGACAAACCUUGGAGCUCCUGCAAACUUUAUUCACAAACUGCAACUAUUUUACACAAAUCUGCGACUGACAACAAGCACAGAGACUUCAAACAAUCACUGAAAGAAACCAAAUCCUGCGUCUUUGCCUUGACAGACGCCUAAAAUGGCUCGAGCUGUGGCAAAGGAGAAGCUCCCACACUCAUCCAGUGGAGACCGUUGUGCUCUGGACAAUGAAGUUCCCGCUUUCAUGUUCAGACCUAUCAGUGCACCUGCAUGUGAGCUCCCAAGUCCACCACCUGCUGAUGCCAGCUUUCAUUCAAAGGACACAAACAAGAUCAUUCACCCAGAUUUGAAAAAUGAUCGUUCAUCCCUGGAUGAUGAAGUGGCGUUUUUCAUGUGUCCUACUGAUGUUCCUCUGCCUCCGAGACCUCCACCCACUGCAGAGUUACGUCUCUGCAGAAAGCGCAGACAUUCUGCUGUUUUUUCUGUGGAGGAUGAAGAGGAACAUUUGAUGCCUAAACGCAUGAGGCUGAUGAGUUCUGAUGUUCCAGUUUCUUCAGUUCCUCCACCUGCUGAUGACAGCUUUCAGUCAAAGGAC
ensembl:lncRNA